UAGGGAAUCUUCGGCAAUGGACGAAAGUCUGACCGAGCAACGCCGCGUGAGUGAAGAAGGUUUUCGGAUCGUAAAACUCUGUUGUUAGAGAAGAACAAGGACGUUAGUAACUGAACGUCCCCUGACGGUAUCUAACCAGAAAGCCACGGCUAACUACGUGCCAGCAGCCGCGGUAAUACGUAGGUGGCAAGCGUUGUCCGGAUUUAUUGGUCGUAAACCGAGCGCAGGCGGUUUCUUAAGUCUGAUGUGAAAGCCCCCGGCUCAACCGGGGAGGGUCAUUGGAAACUGGGAGACUUGAGUGCAGAAGAGGAGGGUGGAAUUCCAUGUGUAGCGGUGAAAUGCGUAGAUAUAUGGAGGAACACCAGUGGCGAAGGCGGCUCUCUGGUCUGUAACUGACGCUGAGGCUCGAAAGCGUGGGGAGCAAACAGG
rnacentral:rRNA from 1 species